AUUGAACGCUGGCGGCAGGCCUAACACAUGCAAGUCGAGCGGAGGAAGGGAGCUUGCUCCUGGAUUCAGCGGCGGACGGGUGAGUGAUGCCUAGGAAUCUGCCUGGUAGUGGGGGAUAACGUCCGGAAACGGGCGCUAAUACCGCAUACGUCCUGAGGGGGAAAGUGGGGGAUCUUCGGACCUCACGCUAUCAGAUGAGCCUAGGUUGGAUUAGCUAGUUGGUGGGGUAGAGGCCUACCAAGGCGACGAUCCGUAACUGGUCUGAGAGGAUGAUCAGUCACACUGGAACUGAGACACGGUCCAGACUCCUACGGGAGGCAGCAGUGGGGAAUAUUGGACAAUGGGCGAAAGCCUGAUCCAGCCAUGCCGCGUGGGUGAAGAAGGUCUUCGGAUUGUAAAGCACUUUAAGUUGGGAGGAAGGGCAGUAAGUUAAUACCUUGCUGUUUUGACGUUACCAACAGAAUAAGCACCGGCUAACUUCGUG
rnacentral:rRNA from 1 species